CUUUUCCUCUAUUCUGUUCGUCUUUCUUUUCUCUUCUAUCUCCUCUUUUCCUCUAUUAUGACAGGAUGAAGAGCAGCUAGCUAUGUCUAUUUUGAGCAAUUUCUUGAAGAGAUAGGUGAACUCGGGAUCGUUGCAGCCGAUUGGGGUUGUAGGUGGGUGAGGUGAAAUGUAUUAGAUUAGGUUUUUGACAUUGAGAGGAACGACUGGUUGGUAGAUCUCCUGAUAAACUCGAUGGAGUUGACCUAAAUCGGUUCAUUUAGUCGUCGGUUGUAUUCUGCAGAAUUUGGUAGAUCUAGAAAGGAAAAUAGCUCAAGGAGGUGAUGGAAAGAGGAGCAGACGAGGAGGAGAUCUGGGUAAUCAUCGGGGUAUCAGAUCGAGAUGGAGUUAUGGGCUCAAAGAACUGAAAGACGAAAGAGGGCGGAGCAGAGUUAAUUAGGAUAACGCGACGGCUAGUUUUUUGCAGUCGCCAAUUGUUAAUACCUUGCGACGGCAAAUUCUUGCCGAAGUA
rnacentral:lncRNA from 1 species